UGGGGAGUGGUGCAGUGGUAGUCACGCAUGACUCUGGAUCAUGAAACAGAGGUUCGAGUCCUCUCUCCCCAGCCA
rnacentral:tRNA from 2 species